UACAGAGGUCCCAAGCGUUGUUCGGAUUCAUUGGGCGUAAAGAGCGCGUAGGCGGUCCGGUAAGUCCGCUCUGAAAGUCCGGGGCUCAACCCCGGGAGGCGGGCGGAUACUGUCGGGCUAGAGUCCGGAAGAGGCGAGUGGAAUUCCCGGUGUAGCGGUGAAAUGCGCAGAUAUCGGGAGGAACACCUAUGGCGAAGGCAGCUCGCUGGGACGUUACUGACGCUGAGACGCGAAAGCGUGGGGAGCAAACAGG
rnacentral:rRNA from 1 species